rnacentral:rRNA from 1 species
GCGUGAGUGAUGAAGGCCUUAGGGUUGUAAAGCCCUUUUGCACGCGACGAUGAUGACGGUAGCGUGAGAAGAAGCCCCGGCUAACUUCGUGCCAGCAGCCGCGGUAAUACGAAGGGGGCGAGCGUUGUUCGGAAUUACUGGGCGUAAAGGGCGCGCAGGCGGCCUCUCGAAGUCAGAUGUGAAAGCCCCGGGCUCAACCUGGGAAUGGCAUUUGAUACUCGAGGGCUUGAGUACGGGAGAGGAGAGUGGAAUUCCCAGUGUAGAGGUGAAAUUCGU